rnacentral:ncRNA from 1 species
GCACGCGCGAACGAGUGGGAACCGCGAGGACAUCGCGCCCCUGAGACGACAUCGUCAUAACUUGACCAAGGUAAUUCUUGCGCAAGGAUCGCCGUGCUUUUACGC